UGGACAUGGGGCCCAAUCACGAAGGAGAGAGAAGUGCUUCCCCAAAGCUGGGAUGGUUGGGCUACAUUGACAUGACGUUGGAUGGUGUUCACCUGAUGCCCCUCGUGGGGAAUGAGUGAAUGGUGCAGUUUGAAGAACACAUUAAGUCUUGAAAGUUGGAAAGUUCACCAGUACCCUUCUUUCCCUCACCCAAGAUUAGCCCUGGUGGCAGCCGAAAUUGCUUUUAUUAUCUCUUUGUGGCUGAGGACCUCUAACUGUUGAAGAAAACAUAUUUUACACGUCUUGUCUUUCUGCGAACAGGAAGCCUAUCUCGCUUAUCUUUGCAACCCCAGACGGGGCUUAGUGUGACCUACACACAGCAGUAAUCGCACAACGUCCCGUGGAGCACUGCUUCUCAAAUUUGGCUGUACAUACGAAUCACCUGGGGAAUUUUAAAUUGUAUUGCUGCCUGAGGAAUUUUAAACUGUACUCCCAGAGAUUCUGAUUUAAUUGAAAUGAGGUGAGUCCUGGGCACUGG
rnacentral:lncRNA from 1 species